UUGUACAUAAAACAAAGGGGGAAAGGUAUUAGAAACAAGAGGUCAAAAUUUUUAAAGAAAAAUAAAAACAUUCCAUGCUUUCAAAAGUAAGCAAAUAAAAGCAGAGUAAUAAUGAAUGAUUACUAUGAAUCUAGGGGAAUGAAUAUUGAUGCGCUUUUUAAGACUUCUUUGUAAAAUCACUCAGAAUUGUCACCAUCGGUUUCAUUCAACAAUUUUUUGUUAGAUUGUUCAUCCGUUUUUUUCUGGCGACGAGGCGGAAUUGGGGCCUCCUCAAAUAAUGAAUCAUAAGGGAUAGGAUAUGAGCGAGAAUUGAGCAACCUUGAAGCGGCCAUAAAUUCCCCUCGAAUCCGAUACAAUCCAGAACUGCUAACUGUCCUACCCACAUUAUGUGAAAUCUCGAAAGGAUCUUCAAUCGCAAGAAUAUACCUGUCUUUUAUAAUUUGAUCAGCCGAUCCAGUGUGUUCAGUAGCUGAAGUCCAUCCUUUCUCUUGCUUUGUGAGGUAACCGUCUGGUCUACGAAAAGUUACUACCUUUUCCCGUGGCUCGAACUUAUAAGCAUAAAAUCUAAAAAAGCCAUGAAGUAAACUUCCCAAUGAGCUAUAAUUUUGGGAAGGAGGGAUAUCUUCCAGUUUAUCGUCAAAACCAACGUCAAAUCCAUCAACUAUCUUUUCUUGUUUCAAAGGUGACAACAGUAAAUUAGGAAAGACGGGAGGCUUGAUAACGUGAAUCAGAUAGUAAAGAACCAUUAGGACGUAACCAUAACUGGAAAGAGUUCCAAAGUAAGGAGAGUUGAUUUGCUUCCGUUUGGCCCAAUGCUUAACAAGAAGGACCAUGGGUUUUAGGCGAGCAUCUAAUUUUGUAUAUGAAGAAAGUAAAAGCGUAUUAUGAAUAGCUAGACGAUUGUUAAAUCCAAUAUCACAUUGAAACGAAGCCCCAAAUCC